UAUUAUUAUGAUGUAAAUUUC
rnacentral:piRNA from 1 species